CUAAGACUGGAUAGGAAGAAAUAAGGCAUCUUAUUUCUUUUAAAAGACCUAGUAAUAGGUAUACUUUAGGAGGGGCUUGCGCCAUAUUAGUUAGUUGGUAGGGUAAUGGCCUACCAAGACGAUGAUGUGUAGCUGGACUGAGAGGUUGAACAGCCACAUUGGGACUGAGACACGGCCCAAACUCCUACGGGAGGCAGCAGUAAGGAAUUUUCGGCAAUGGAGGAAACUCUGACCGAGCAACGCCGCGUGAACGACGAAGUACUUUGGUAUGUAAAGUUCCUUUAUCAAGGAAGAAAAGCAAGUGGCGAACCAUUUGUUUGCCGGUACUUGAUGAAUAAGCCCCGGCUAAUUAUGUGCCAGCAGCCGCGGUAAGACAUAAGGGGCAAGUGUUAUCCGGAAUUAUUGGGCGUAAAGGGUGCGUAGGCGGUCUAGUAAGUCAGUGGUGUAAUGGCAACGCUCAACGUUGUCCGGCUAUUGAAACUGCUAAACUUGAGUUAGAUAGAGGCGAGUGGAAUUCCAUGUGUAGCGGUAAAAUGCGUAAAUAUAUGGAGGAACACCAGAGGCGUAGGCGGCUCGCUGGGUCUUAACUGACGCUGAGGCACGAAAGCGUGGGGAGCAAACAGGAUUAGAUACCCUGGUAGUCCACGCCGUAAACGAUGAGUACUAAGUGUCGGGUUAAACCGGUACUGAAGUUAACACAUUAAGUACUCCGCCUGAGUAGUACGUACGCAAGUAUGAAACUUAAAGGAAUUGACGGGACUCCGCACAAGCGGUGGAUCAUGUUGUUUAAUUCGAAGAUACCCGAAAAACCUUACCAGGUCUUGACAUGUUUUUGCGAAACGGUAGUAAUAUCGUAGAGGUUAUCAGAAACACAGGUGGUGCAUGGUUGUCGUCAGCUCGUGUCGUGAGAUGUUAGGUUAAGUCCUAAAACGAGCGAAACCCUUAUCGUUAGUUGCCAGCACGUUAUGGUGGGGACUUUAACGAGACUGCCAGUGAUAAACUGGAGGAAGGUGAGGAUCACGUCAAAUCAGCAUGCCCCUUAUGACCUGGGCUACAAACGUGAUACAAUGGCUGUUACAAAGGGUAGCUGAAACGUAAGUUCUUGGCCAAUCCCCAAAAACAGUCUCAGUCCGGAUUGAAGUCUGCAACUCGACUUCAUGAAGUUGGAAUCGCUAGUAAUCGCGAAUCAGCAUGUCGCGGUGAAUACGUUCUCGGGGUUUGUACACACCGCCCGUCAAACCACGAAAGUUGGCAAUACCCCAAAAUGGUAGCCUAACUCGUUUAUUCGAGAGGGCGCUGUCUAAGGUAGGGUCGAUGAUUGGGGUUAAGUCGUAACA
rnacentral:rRNA from 1 species